rnacentral:rRNA from 1 species
GAAGGUUUGCUUAGAAGCAGCCAUCCUUUAAAGAAAGCGUAAUAGCUCACUAGUCGAGUCGGCCUGCGCGGAAGAUGUAACGGGGCUCAAACUGGUCACCGAAGCUGCGGCUGCAUACUUUGUAUGCGGGGUAGGGGAGCGUUCUGUAAGCCUGCGAAGGUGUGUUGAGAAGCAUGCUGGAGGUAUCAGAAGUGCGAAUGCUGACAUGAGUAACGACAAUGCGGGUGAAAAACCCGCACGCCGGAAGACCAAGGGUUCCUGCGCAACGCUAAUCGGCGCAGGGUGAGUCGGCCCCUAAGGCGAGACCGAAAGGUGUAGUCGAUGGGAAACGGGUUAAUAUUCCCGUACUUAUAUAAUCAGUGAUGGAGGGACGGAGAAGGCUAGGCAAGCUUGGCGUUGGUUGUCCAAGUGAAAGUGAGUAGGCUGAAGACUUAGGUAAAUCCGGGUUUUCAAGGCCGAGACACGAGACGAGCUCCCAAGGGAGUGAAGUUGUUGAUGCCCUGCUUCCAGGAAAAGCUUCUAAACUUAUGAUUAUAUGAACCGUACCCCAAACCGACACAGGUGGUCAGGUAGAGAAUACCAAGGCGCUUGAGAGAACUCGGGUAAAGGAACUAGGCAAAAUGGUGCCGUAACUUCGGGAGAAGGCACGCUGGUGGUAAGUGAAAUCCCUGCGGGUGGAGCUGAAGCCAGUCGAAGAUACCAGGCCCCUGCGACUGUUUAUUAAAAACACAGCACUGUGCAAACACGAAAGUGGACGUAUACGGUGUGACGCCUGCCCGGUGCCGGAAGGUUAAUUGAUGGGGUUAGCGCUUGCGCGAAGCUCUUGAUCGAAGCCCCGGUAAACGGCGGCCGUAACAAUAACGGUCCUAAGGUAGCGAAA